ACCAGCAACCAGGGAGAAACGACAGUAUGAACAUCAAUGACAGACCGAGUACCAGCAACCAGGGAGUAUGAACAAUCAAUGACAGACCGGUACAGCAACCAGGGAAUGAUAAUAUAAUAGACGGUGUCCCAAAUGGCACCCUACGCCCUAUUUAGUGCACUGCUUUUGGCCAGGGCCCAUAUAGUAGUGCACUAGUAAGGAGUAGGGUGCCAUUUGGGAGCAGGACAUAACGCAUGGAGUAAGACCUAAUGAGUUCAAUACGGGGGUCUGGUGGCUCGUGCAGCCCCGCCCCCCUCCCGAACUGAACGAUCAGAAUCCUUUCAGGAGCCAAUAAAAAGCCAUUGUGGUUUCCUAGAUCCCAGGGUUGUUGUUACGAAAACAAGCUCAUACGGACACUUUUUGUGGCAAAUGAUCAUCU
rnacentral:lncRNA from 1 species